GCCGAGCCAGGCAGUGAGCUCCUAUUUGCCCGAGGGAGUCCGCUCCAUGCCAUAGCGCAGGAGGUGGUGCAGGUCCGUGAGCGCCCGGGGGGGCCCCGCACCGGGUGCCCGUGGGGCCGUGCCGUGCUGCCCGUAGCCGCCUGCCGGCGCUUCGCCGCUGUUAAAUGUGUGGUUCCUCUUGAGGUGGGCACCGGGGCGUUGGGUGCCGUUGUUGGCGUUGAAGUUCAGCUGCUCAGGGUGCCACGGCGGCCCCUCCACAAAGUCCCCCCCUUCCCCACCGGGCGCCGAAACCACGCGCCGGCGGUCGGGGCUGGGGCGCGGGGUGCCCCCAAAGUCGCCGUAGGAGCUCCGGGGCGGACGGCGGGCGCCGGCGGGGGGGUGCUGCCGGGUGCGGGGACCCUCGUGGUGGUCCCGUCCCCAGUGCCCGUCACCCGAGGAGUCGCUGAGUUCAGCCUCCAGCUCCUGAUCCACCAGGAUGGCGUGGCAGGAGAGGGGCAUGCCGCGGGCAGAGCGGCCGGCGCCGGCGUGCAGCCGCGUGCCGCUGGCACCAGGGUCCCGCAGCGCGGCGUUGAUGAUGUUGUGGCUCUGCUCCCAGGUGCAGUUCUGCAGGGCACCGGGGCAGCGCUUCUGCUGCAGCGGGGUUUGCUCCGGCGUAGGCAGGACGCCCGAGUCCAGGUCGUGUUGGCUCGCCUUGCCCAGCUCCUUGGGCCACCCGUUGGGCAUCAGCGGGGCCAGCAGCGCGCCGGGCUGCCCGCCACGCGCUCGCCGCUCGCCCAACCGGCUGACGCUCACCACCGACUCGCUGUGUGCCAGGAUGGUCUCCUUGUCCUUGCGUCGUGCCAGCUCCUUGCGGUCCCUGUGGCCGAUGAACCAACACACGCUGAAGCCGGAGAUAACGGCGCCGAUGACGAAGGCGGCCACCGAGGAGAUGACCAGCAGGUUCACCGACACCAGCCCGUCCGGCUCGUCCACGAAGCUCUCCGUCACCAGCCCCUCGCACUCGCCCAGGUGCGAUGUGCUGCCACCGGAGAUGUCCUGCUCGAAAGCCG
rnacentral:lncRNA from 1 species